UGCACACCAACUAUCCUUUUAGUGUUAGAGAAUCUAGCAGUCUGUGCAAGGGCACCAUCUGCCAUUCUCCAAAAGACUAAGUAGAAGAAUCAAGAUAAGCAGCAGCCUUCUGCAAAGGUGGCCACAGUGGCUUAGAGCUGGGAGUGAAGACCCAGACCUUGCCUUCCCUGAGACCUGAGCUCAACUGACUCCAUGCUGGAAGUGCCGUUCCGGCUGUAAAACUCAGCACACAGACAACCCCACUGACAAAACUACAACAGAGGCCUAAUCCAGCAAAGCCAUGGUCUGGGAAAGUCUCUACAUGCACUCACCUUGCUUUUUGCCUUCUGUAGUUCUGCUUCUGGUAACUGCUCUUGUUAAUGGAGAUUCCAGGCUGCCUCCCAGGUGGUGGUGAACAUCUUUGUGUAGUGUCAUGUAAGAGACAAGACCAAUGAGGCAAAGCUUUCCCAGUUUGUGCCCUUUUCUCUUGGUGACAGGUGGCAUUCAGUUGUCUUCUUCAUGGCUUCAUGACAGUCACAUCACAAGCACCAGGACCACCCAAAAACUGUGCUGUGGCGGUAACUUCCACAUGAGGGCCAAACUGAAGCCUGCCUGACAGUCAAGAGAUUGGUGACGCAGACAAUGACAGCCAAUCAGAAACGGCAAGUUGGAGGACAUGCUUGCUUGGGACCAAUGGGACAAGCGAGGGAAGAAGGAUGUGGAGAAAGAGGAACACUCCUCCAUUGUUGGUAGGA